rnacentral:rRNA from 1 species
CACCUGAGGUGAAGACGGGUUGCUGGGCUGACACUGACGCUGAGGCGCGAAAGCUAGGGGAGCAAACGGGAUUAGAUACCCCGGUAGUCCUAGCCCUAAACGAUGAAUACUUGGUGUCUNGGAAGUUUAAACUCUGGGUGCCGUCGCUANCGUUUUAAGUAUUNCGCCUGGGGNAGUACGGCCGCAAGGC